rnacentral:rRNA from 1 species
UACAUGUGGGGCAAGCGUUGUUCGGAAUUACUGGGCAUAAAGGGUGCGUAGGCGGCUUGUUAAGUCAGGGGUGAAAGUUUUCGGCCCAACCGGAAAAUUGCCUUUGAUACUGGCGGCUAGCUUGACGUGCGGUGAGGGGGAACUGGGGAAGAGCAGUGGUAGCGGUGAAAUGCGUAGAUAAUUGCUCGGAAGGCCAGAGCCGAAGGGGCCCCAUUGGUACGUAACUGACGCUGAGGCACGAAAGCGUGGGGAGCAAACAGGGAUAGAA